AGAAUCAACGCUGGCGGCGUGCCUAACACAUGCAAGUCGCACGAGAAAGGGGCUUCGGCCCUGAGUAAAGUGGCGCACGGGUGAGUAACACGUGAAUGAUCUAUCUCCGAGUGGGGAAUAACCAAAGAAAUUUGGCUAAUACCGCAUAACACUUACGAGUCAAAGCAGCAAUGCGCUUGGAGAGGAGUUCGCGGCAGAUUAGCUAGUUGGCGGGGUAAUGGCCCACCAAGGCGAUGAUCUGUA
rnacentral:rRNA from 1 species